rnacentral:rRNA from 1 species
GUCCUAGUUACCAGCACGUUAUGUGGGCACUCUAAGGAGACUGCCGGUGACAACCGGAGGAAGGUGGGGAUGACGUCAAGUCAUCAUGGCCCUUACGGCCUGGGCUACACACGUGCUACAAUGGUCGGUACAAAGGGUUGCCAAGCCGCGAGGUGGAGCUAAUCCCAUAAAACCGAUCGUAGUCCGGAUCGCAGUCUGCAACUCGACUGCGUGAAGUCGGAAUCGCUAGUAAUCGUGAAUCAGAAUGUCACGGUGAAUACGUUCCCGGGCCUU